rnacentral:rRNA from 1 species
UACGUAGGGUGCGAGCGUUAAUCGGAAUUACUGGGCGUAAAGCGUGCGCAGGCGGCUAUUUAAGCUUGCUGUGAAAGCCCCGGGCUUAACCUGGGAAUGGCAGUGAGGACUGGAUGGCUGGAGUGUGGCAGAGGGGGGGUGGAAUUCCACGUGUAGCAGUGAAAUGCGUAGAGAUGUGGAGGAACACCGAUGGCGAAGGCAGCCCCCCUGGGCUAACACUGACGCUCAGGCACGAAAGCGUGGGGAGCAAACAGG